rnacentral:lncRNA from 1 species
AGUCAUUGUGAAAAAAAUUGAAAAAAAAUUGAAAAAAAAAUUUUAAAAAAAGAGUUUAUUUUGUAUUCAAAUUUCUCUAUUGUAAUCAACAUUUUGUAUUCAAAAAAAAUGAAAAGAAGUUGCGAAAUUUAAAAAAAAAAGGAAGUUUUUUGAAAGUGUUCAUAGUUUUCCCGAUCUUCAAAGUACUUUCCACCAAGAACAAACCCAUCGCCACACUUAGC